UACAGAGGGUGCGAGCGUUAAUCGGAAUUACUGGGCGUAAAGCGCGCGUAGGCGGCUUUGCAAGUCGGGUGUGAAAUCCCCAGGCUUAACCUGGGAACUGCAUUCGAGACUGCAUUGCUAGAGUAUGGGAGAGGGGGAUGGAAUUCCGCGUGUAGCAGUGAAAUGCGUAGAUAUGCGGAGGAACACCGAUGGCGAAGGCAAUCCCCUGGGCCUGCACUGACGCUCAUGCACGAAAGCGUGGGGAGCAAACAGG
rnacentral:rRNA from 1 species